GCAACCUGCCCAACUGACUCUGGGAUAAGCGGUGGAAACGCCGUCUAAUACCGGAUACGACCUUCCGCCUCAUGGUGGAGGGUGGAAAGUUUUUUCGGUCAGGGAUGGGCUCGCGGCCUAUCAGCUUGUUGGUGGGGUAACGGCCUACCAAGGCGAUUACGGGUAGCCGGCCUGAGAGGGCGACCGGCCACACUGGGACUGAGACACGGCCCAGACUCCUGCGGGAGGCAGCAGUGGGGAAUAUUGCGCAAUGGGCGAAAGCCUGACGCAGCGACGCCGCGUGGGGGAUGACGGCCUUCGGGUUGUAAACCUCUUUUACCACCAACGCAGGCUCCGGGUUCUCUCGGGGUUGACGGUAGGUGGGGAAUAAGGACCGGCUAACUACGUGCCAGCAGCCGCGGUAAUACGUAGGGUCCGAGCGUUGUCCGGAAUUAUUGGGCGUAAAGAGCUCGUAGGCGGCGUGUCGCGUCUGCUGUGAAAGACCGGGGCUUAACUUUCCGGUUCUGCAGUGGAUACGGGCAUGCUAGAGGUAGGUAGGGGAGACUGGAAUUCCUGGUGUAGCGGUGAAAUGCGCAGAUAUCAGGAGGAACACCGGUGGCGAAGGCGGGUCUCUGGGCCUUACCUGACGCUGAGGAGCGAAAGCAUGGGGAGCGAACAGGAUUAGAUACCCUGGUAGUCCAUGCCGUAAACGUUGGGCGCUAGGUGUGGGGACUUUCCACGGUUUCCGCGCCGUAGCUAACGCAUUAAGCGCCCCGCCUGGGGAGUACGGCCGCAAGGCUAAAACUCAAAGGAAUUGACGGGGGCCCGCACAAGCGGCGGAGCAUGUUGCUUAAUUCGACGCAACGCGAAGAACCUUACCAAGGUUUGACAUCACCCGUGGACCUGUAGAGAUACAGGGUCAUUUAGUUGGUGGGUGACAGGUGGUGCAUGGCUGUCGUCAGCUCGUGUCGUGAGAUGUCUUUAAGUCCCGCAACGAGCGCAACCCUUGUUCCAUGUUGCCAGCACGUAAUGGUGGGGACUCAUGGGAGACUGCCGGGGUCAACUCGGAGGAAGGUGGGGACGACGUCAAGUCAUCAUGCCCCUUAUGUCUUGGGCUGCAAACAUGCUACAAUGGCCGGUACAAUGGGCGUGCGAUACCGUAAGGUGGAGCGAAUCCCUUAAAGCCGGUCCCUCAGUUCGGAUUGGGGUCUG
rnacentral:rRNA from 1 species